GAUGAAGAACGCAGCGAAAUGCGAUACGUAAUGUGAAUUGCAGAAUUCAGUGAAUCAUCGAAUCUUUGAACGCAUAUUGCGCUCUUUGGUAUUCCGAAGAGCAUGCUUGUUUGAGUAUCAGUAAACACCUCAAAGCUUUUGGAUUUUUUAAUCGAAAAGCUUUGGACUUGAGCAAUCCCAACACCAAUCUUUUUGAGAUCGGUGGCGGGUUGCUUGAAAUGCAGGUGCAGCUGGACAUUCUCCUGAGCUAAAAGCAUAUUCAUUUAGUCCCGUCAAACGGAUUAUCACUUUUGCUGCAGCUAACAUAAAGGGAGUUUGACCGUAUUGGCUGACUGAUGCAGGAUUUCACAAGGGUCGGCAACGAUUCUUGUUAAACUCGAUCUCAAAUCAAGUAAGACUACCCGCUGAACUUAAGCAUAUCAAUAAGCGGAGGA
rnacentral:misc_RNA from 1 species